CCUACGGGGGGCAGCAGUGAGGAAUAUUGGUCAAUGGACGAGAGUCUGAACCAGCCAAGUAGCGUGAAGGAUGACUGCCCUAUGGGUUGUAAACUUCUUUUAUAUGGGAAUAAAAUGUUCCACGUGUGGGAUUUUGUAUGUACCAUAUGAAUAAGGAACGGCUAACUCCGUGCCAGCAGCCGCGGUAAUACGGAGGAUCCGAGCGUUAUCCGGAUUUAUUGGGUUUAAAGGGAGCGUAGGUGGAUUGUUAAGUCAGUUGUGAAAGUUUGCGGCUCAACCGUAAAAUUGCAGUUGAAACUGGCAGUCUUGAGUACAGUAGAGGUGGGCGGAAUUCGUGGUGUAGCGGUGAAAUGCUUAGAUAUCACGAAGAACUCCGAUUGCGAAGGCAGUUCACUGGACUGCAACUGACACUGAGGCUCGAAAGUGUGGGUAUCAAACAGGAUUAGAUACCCUAGUAGUC
rnacentral:rRNA from 1 species